ACAACAUUAGGAGUGACGCUAUACUGAGCAAUAUCACCCGCUCGGUGGAAGAUCUUUCCAUUCGUUGU
rnacentral:pre_miRNA from 1 species